rnacentral:rRNA from 1 species
GACGAACGCUGGCGGCGUGCCUAAUACAUGCAAGUAGAACGCUGAAGCUUGGUGCUUGCACCGAGCGGAUGAGUUGCGAACGGGUGAGUAACGCGUAGGUAACCUGCCUGGUAGCGGGGGAUAACUAUUGGAAACGAUAGCUAAUACCGCAUAAGAGUAGAUGUUGCAUGACAUUUGCUUAAAAGGUGCAAAUGCAUCACUACCAGAUGGACCUGCGUUGUAUUAGCUAGUUGGUGAGGUAACGGCUCACCAAGGCAACGAUACAUAGCCGACCUGAGAGGGUGAUCGGCCACACUGGGACUGAGACACGGCCCAGACUCCUACGGGAGGCAGCAGUAGGGAAUCUUCGGCAAUGGACGGAAGUCUGACCGAGCAACGCCGCGUGAGUGAAGAAGGUUUUCGGAUCGUAAAGCUCUGUUGUAAGAGAAGAACGAGUGUGAGAGUGGAAAGUUCACACUGUGACG